CUCAGCUUCUCCAGAUGCUGAUGUUCCCCAUCCAGAGCGGCUGGAGCCCAGCGCCGACCUCCGGCGCCAGACGUGGGUGUUCAGGACUAAGGAGCUGAUGCUGAGGACUGGCAGCUCUGUCCCCGAGGGCAGCCUGGUCUACGUGCAGGAGGGGAGCAACGCCUUCCUGCGCACCCCCCGGGGCUGGAGCAGGCUGCUGCUGGAGGACUCGGAGUCACUCUUUGUGGGUGAUGACCCCUCCGCCUCCACACCGCAGG